GGAACUUAGGUUACACCCUAAACCAAGGGCCUUCAAAGCCCUAAACAAGAGCGCACCCACCUCUUAGUUUCUG
rnacentral:tRNA from 1 species